CCCUUAGAUGUUCUGGGCCGCACGCGUGCUACACUGAGUGGAUCAGCGGGUCAGGUUACGCGAGAGCGUUUCCUAAUCUUCAAAUCCGCUCGUGAUGGGGAUUGACGGUUGCAAUUUUCCGUCAUGAACGAGGAAUACCUUGUAAGCGCGGGUCAUCAUCCCGCGCUGAAUACGUCCCUGCCCUUUGUACACACCGCCCGUCGCUACUACCGAUUGAACGUUUUAGUGAGGUAUUUGGACUGGACCUUGGGAGGUUUCGGCCUCCCUUGUUGCUCGGAAAGACUCCCAAACUUGAGCGUUUAGAGGAAGUAAAAGUCGUAACA
rnacentral:rRNA from 1 species